AGUGGCGCACGGGUGAGUAACGCGUGGGAACCUGCCCUGGGGUGGGGGAUAACCGAUGGAAACGUCGGCUAAUACCGCAUACGUCCUGAGGGAGAAAGAUUUAUCGCCCGAGGAGGGGCCCGCGUCGGAUUAGCUAGUUGGUGGGGUAACGGCCUACCAAGGCGAUGAUCCGUAGCUGGUCUGAGAGGAUGAUCAGCCACACUGGGACUGAGACACGGCCCAGACUCCUACGGGAGGCAGCAGUGGGGAAUAUUGGACAAUGGGGGAAACCCUGAUCCAGCGACGCCGCGUGUGUGAAGAAGGCCUGCGGGUUGUAAAGC
rnacentral:rRNA from 1 species